CCAGACUCCUACGGGAGGCAGCAGUGAGGAAUAUUGGUCAAUGGCCGAGAGGCUGAACCAGCCAAGUCGCGUGAGGGAAGACGGCCCUACGGGUUGUAAACCUCUUUUGUCGGGGAGCAAAGAGAAUCACGUGUGACUCAUUGAGAGUACCCGAAGAAAAAGCAUCGGCUAACUCCGUGCCAGCAGCCGCGGUAAUACGUAGGGGGCAAGCGUUAUCCGGAUUUACUGGGUGUAAAGGGAGCGUAGACGGCGAAGCAAGUCUGAAGUGAAAACCCAGGGCUCAACCCUGGGACUGCUUUGGAAACUGUUUUGCUAGAGUGUCGGAGAGGUAAGUGGAAUUCCUAGUGUAGCGGUGAAAUGCGUAGAUAUCACGCAGAACUCCGAUUGCGAAGGCAGCAUACCGGCGCCCAACUAACGCUGAAGCACGAAAGCGUGGGUAUCGAACAGGAUUAGAUACCCGCGUAC
rnacentral:rRNA from 1 species